ACAACAGCAUAAACAAGUUGUGACCACCGGGUUUAUUCUGCUCAUCACCUUUCUCUGUUGUACUUCUCUAUUUUCUCCAACAUUUCUCGGUUUCUCUCCUGGAAAUAUCAAUACUUCUGAUUGAGUUGCCACACUUCUAACAAAAUUCGUAUGAUCGCUAAAAUUACAAAAGUGCAUGGGAUAGGUUUCCAAAGAAAAUCUUUAUUUUGUUUUCCUAACUUUGGGUAUCGAGGCAUCGAAAGGUAAAACUUUGGGUAUUGAGGCAACGGAAGGCAAGCACCGCACUAGGAUACGAUUCUUCUCAAACGGCUAUGGGUGUCUUUGUUUGUGCCUAAGUAUAUGAAUGUUGUGAGCUAUGAAGUAUAUGUCCAUCUUGCUGACUGCAACAAAUGCUUGUGCUCGCAUUCAUCAGCUGAGGACUAAACAACUAGAAUGUUGUUCAAGCAGUUGGACAAUGGAAUGAGGAACUACUGGAUAGUGGAUACUGUGACUCGAAGCUGUGGAAAGGGAAUGUGUUGUUGUUCUUUUGUCUACAAAAUGGCAUUUUUGCCGUAAACUUAAACUUCGUUCAACUUUAACCACCACUGCUAUGUAAAAAAGAACUAAGAAAAUUAAAUACGAAGGUUGAGCAAGGAAUGACUACUGUUAUCUGCUA